AGACCUGGUGCAGGGCCUGGUGGUCACAGUUGCUUGGUGACUGAGAGUUGUUUGUUAUGAAUGAAUGAAUGAAUGAAUGAUGAAUGAAUGAAUGAAUCCCAGGUUGGUAAAGACAUGGGACUUUGGACCAAGAGGUGGGACGAGCACAUGGGGUCUCAGGGCAGCCAGGACUGAGUCCGCAAAGUAAGGUAGGACCCCGCUCCCUCCCGUGCAUUCUCAUUCUGGGCCAAUUUCCAGUUCCUGGAAUUGUUCCUGGAAUUGGGUAAGAGGCAUGAAGGAAGGAGAGACUCACCGGCAGUUUCCGUUCUCCGCGCCCAUCUCUCAAGGAGCCUGGAUGCAGGAGGCAGACAGAAGGACACGAGUCACCAUGCUUCCCCGCCCCUUCGGGGGUCAGACUCACAAAGGGACAACCACAGGGGCAGGAGUGGAGCCAGCACAGAGCUGCCAACACGGAACACCUGGGGUGCCCACUCCCCCACUCCCCACCCCUCCCUGGGGCAUGGUAUUGCAUCUUCCAGCUGCAGAAACUGAAACUUGAGGAGCUCGUGCUCAGCCAGGCCUGCUUGUUGGAGCUCUAUGGCAUUUGCAGGCAGGCGGUGGAGAAGACACCCCUCCUUAGCCACCUCAUUGUGGCUGUCACUGUGGCUUGGGCAACCAGGGUAGCCUGCGGUGCCAGCAACUGGAAACCCAUCCCUCCUGGGUCAGCAGCUGUGCUGGCCAAGAAGAUCCAUCUCCCUUUCUCUCCAGCUCCUUGCUGGAGAAGGGACAGGGCAGCUGAAGUAGAAUGAAAACAUCAGUGCAGAGGAAUUCACACAAUGACCAGGAAGGAAUCUUCCAGGAAAAGGUAAAGGCAAAGGAAAUCCAGAGGUGGGCAGUAGUUAAAGGGGUAAAAGUAGAUUCUAACCAGGGCACCUGGGUGGCUCAGUGGGUUAAAGCCUCUGCCUU